AUUGAACGCUGGCGGCAUGCCUUACACAUGCAAGUCGAACGGCAGCACGGGAGCAAUCCUGGUGGCGAGUGGCGAACGGGUGAGUAAUAUAUCGGAACGUGCCCAGUCGUGGGGGAUAACGUAGCGAAAGCUACGCUAAUACCGCAUACGAUCUAUGGAUGAAAGCGGGGGAUCGCAAGACCUCGCGCGAUUGGAGCGGCCGAUAUCAGAUUAGGUAGUUGGUGGGGUAAAGGCUCACCAAGCCGACGAUCUGUAGCUGGUCUGAGAGGACGACCAGCCACACGGGGACUGAGACACGGCCCAGACUCCUACGGGAGGCAGCAGUGGGGAAUUUUGGACAAUGGGCGCAAGCCUGAUCCAGCAAUGCCGCGUGCAGGAUGAAGGCCUUCGGGUUGUAAACUGCUUUUGUACGGAGCGAAAAGGCUCUCUCUAAUACAGGGGGCUCAUGACGGUACCGUAAGAAUAAGCACCGGCUAACUACGUGCCAGCCGCCGCCGUAAUAC
rnacentral:rRNA from 1 species